rnacentral:rRNA from 1 species
AUACGAAGGUCCCAAGCGUUAUUCGGAAUCACUGGGCGUAAAGAGUACGUAGGCGGUUUGGUAAGUCAGGUGUGAAAUCCCGAAGCUCAACUUCGGAACUGCAUCCGAUACUGCCAGACUAGAGUAAUGGAGAGGCAGGUGGAAUUCUCGGUGUAGCGGUGAAAUGCGUGGAUAUCGAGAGGAAGACCAAUGGCGAAGGCAGCCUGCUGGACAUUUACUGACGCUGAGGUGCGAAGGCUAGGGGAGCGAAAGGGAUUAGAAACCCCGGUAGUCC